rfam:Trichobilharzia regenti genome assembly, scaffold: TRE_scaffold0045980
GUACUUAUGAAGAGUCCUAAACUAGGACGACACAAUUGUCCAGUAC